GAUCCAGACCAGAUGGUGACAGAGGAGGCUCCUGAUUUUUUUCUUCUUAUGGAUGCACUGAGUACAGCCACACGAAGCAAUUUCCUGUGAGAGAAAUCCAGAAAUGAGUUGAAUGACUCCUACACACCAGAUGACAAGCAACAUCCACCUUAAAACAGCCAAACUGCCUCUUCACCUUACAUCAGGCUCAAGUUUUUACCCUCCAUGUAUUUUAGCCUUCAAAGAAUCUCUCCACCCAGUUUGUGAGAGAGUAAGACAGAGCUCUGGGAUUCCUCUGUUGGAUGUCACCUCUCCUACAUGGGACAAAGAUCACACUCUGCCUUGAAACUCAGUAAUC